GCCCCUUAUGAGGGUGAUGAGGUGCUUUUUGUAGAACGAGCCAACGAGUUACGGUAUGUAGCAAGGUUAAGUACUUAAGGUACGGAGCCGAAGGGAAACCGAGUCUGAAUAGGGCGACUAGUUGCAUGCCGUAGACCCGAAACCGGGUGACCUAUCCAUGGCCAGGUUGAAGCGAGGGUAAAACCUCGUGGAGGACCGAACCACGUUGCUGUUGAAAAAGCAUGGGAUGAGCUGUGGAUAGCGGAGAAAUUCCAAUCGAACCCGGAGAUAGCUGGUUCUCUCCGAAAUAGCUUUAGGGCUAGCGUCGAGUAUGAGUAGUGGAGGUAGAGCACUGAAUGGGCUAGGGGGCAUAGCGCUUACCGAACCUUAUCAAACUCCGAAUGCCACAUACUUUGAGCUCGGCAGUCAGACUACGAAUGAUAAGAUCCGUGGUCAAAAGGGAAACAGCCCAGAUCGUCAGCUAAGGUCCCAAAGUGUAAGUUAAGUGGGAAAGGAUGUGAGAUUUCUAAGACAACUAGGAUGUUGGCUUAGAAGCAGCCAUUCAUUAAAAGAGUGCGUAAUAGCUCACUAGUCGAGAGAUCUUGCGCCGAAAAUGUAACGGGGCUAAACUUACCACCGAAGCUACGGGCUUGAACUUAGUUCAAGCGGUAGGAGAGCGUCGUAACCGGGCUGAAGUCGUACCGUAAGGAGCGGUGGACUGGUUACGAGUGAGAAUGUUGGCAUCAGUAGCGAGAUGUGGGUGAGAAUCCCACAGGCCGAAAACCUAAGGUUUCCUCAGGAAGGUUCGUCCGCUGAGGGUUAGUCGGGACCUAAGCCGAGGCCGAAAGGCGUAGGUGAUGGACAACUGGUUGAUAUUCCAGUACCACUACCAUCGUUAUUAUCGAUGGCGUGACGCAGGAGGAUAGUGUGUGCUAGCUAUUGGAUGCUAGUCUAAGCGUUUAGGCAGUGAGAGUAGGCAAAUCCGCUCUCAUAAUGCUGAGGCGUGAUGGGGAAGGUUCCACGGAACCGAAGUACAUGAUUCCACGCUGCCAAGAAAAGCGUCUAGAGAGAGAAGUAGUGCCCGUACCGCAAACCGACACAGGUAGGUGAGGAGAGAAUCCUAAGGCCGGCGGAAGAAUUACAGUUAAGGAACUCGGCAAAUUGACCCCGUAAGUUCGCGAGAAGGGGUGCCUACGAGAGUAGGCCGCAGAGAAUAGGCCCAAGCAACUGUUUAGCAAAAACACAGGUCUCUGCUAAAGCGUAAGCUGAUGUAUAGGGGCUGACGCCUGCCCGGUGCUGGAAGGUUAAGGGGAACACUUAGCGCAAGCGAAGGUGUGAACUUAAGCCCCAGUAAACGGCGGCCGUAACUAUAACGGUCCUAAGGUAGCGAAAUUCCUUGUCAGGUAAGUUCUGACCCGCACGAAUGGCGUAAUGACUUGGGCACUGUCUCAACUGUAAAUCCGGCGAAGUUGUAGUGCGAGUGAAGAUGCUCGCUACCCGCGAUUGGACGGAAAGACCCCGUAGAGCUUUACUGUAGCUUAGCAUUGAGUUUUGGUAUUGUCUGUACAGGAUAGGUGGGAGACUAGGAAACCAGGGCGUCAGCCUUGGUGGAGUCAACCUUGGGAUACCACCCUGACAGUACUGAAAUUCUAACUGGCGGCCAUGAAUCUGGUCACAGGACAUUGUUAGGUGGGCAGUUUGACUGGGGCGGUCGCCUCCUAAAAAGUAACGGAGGCGCCCAAAGGUUCCCUCAGAACGGUCGGAAAUCGUUCGAAGAGUGCAAAGGCAGAAGGGAGCCUGACUGCGACACCCACAAGUGGAGCAGGGACGAAAGUCGGGCUUAGUGAUCCGGUGGUACCUCGUGGGAGGGCCAUCGCUCAACGGAUAAAAGCUACCUCGGGGAUAACAGGCUGAUCUCCCCCAAGAGUCCACAUCGACGGGGAGGUUUGGCACCUCGAUGUCGGCUCGUCGCAUCCUGGGGCUGAAGUAGGUCCCAAGGGUUGGGCUGUUCGCCCAUUAAAGCGGCACGCGAGCUGGGUUCAGAACGUCGUGAGACAGUUCGGUCCCUAUCCGUCGCGGGCGUAGGAAAUUUGAGAGGAGCUGUCCUUAGUACGAGAGGACCGGGAUGGACUGACCUCUGGUGUACCAGUUGUUCCGCCAGGAGCACAGCUGGGUAGCUAAGUCGGGAAUGGAUAAACGCUGAAAGCAUCUAAGCGUGAAGCCAACCUCAAGAUGAGAUUUCCCAUAGCGUAAGCUAGUAAGAUCCCUUGAAGAACACAAGGUUGAUAGGUCGGGGGUGUAAGCAUGGUAACAUGUUCAGCUGACCGAUACUAAUAGAUCG
rnacentral:rRNA from 1 species